UUGCUGUUUUACCUCAAUUUAUCCACACUCUAAUUAAUUUUAAAACGAAUUGUAAUUGAUGUAACGCAUCUAAUACUAAGUUUCAACAACGGAUCUUUUGGCUCUCGCAUCGAUGAAGAACGCAGCGAAAUGCGAUAAGUAAUGUGAAUUGCAGAAUUCAGUGAAUCAUCGAAUCUUUGAACGCACCCUUGCGCUCCUUGGUAUUCCUUGGAGCAUGCCUGUUUGAGUAUCAUGAAAUCUUCAAAGCAAACCUUUUGUUAAUUCAAUCGGUCUCUUGCUUUGGUAUUGGAGGUCUUUGCAGCUUUCACACCUGCUCCUCUUGUUUCAUUAGCUGGAUCUCAGUGUUAUGCUUGGUUCCACUCGGCGUGAUAAGUUAUCUAUCGCUGAGGACACCGUAAAAAAGUGGCCAAGGUAAAUGCAGACGAACCGCUUCUAAUAGUCCAUUGACUUGGACAAUUAAAUUUUAUGAUCUGAUCUCAAAUCAGUAGACACCAGUAU
rnacentral:rRNA from 1 species